rnacentral:misc_RNA from 1 species
GUGGAAGCAGUGACAGGUCUGAUACUUGACUUAUUUCAUAGGUCAAGUAUCAGACCUGUCAAAUGGCAAGAUGUGUUCAUUAGGAUUUCUAGUAACUAAUAGCAUAAUCAAAUAGCAAGAUGUGUUCAUUAGGAUCUCAACUUUUACUGUGCUUAUUUCAUAGGUCGAUCCUUACUUCAUUGCCUAUGAAUCUUUUUUUGGUAAUUCGCGCCCUCCCCUAUCCUUCCUUUGAUUUGUCAGUCUUUCUUUUUCCCCUCUUUUUUUAGUGACAGUGUACUGUCACUUGUUUGUAUCAAAUACCAGUAGAAGGAAAAAGGUCAAGUGUGUUAUGGACAAUGCACCUCAUAGUUUUAAUGGAGCUUUGAAGCCUCUGCUGCCGAAUAGACUAAUUAAAAAUUGGUGUUAAAGUUUAUUAUUUUUAACCGUUAUUUGAGUAUUGAAAUGAAGGAGUUAUUUUUUGGAGAAAAUGGAGUUAUUGCUGAAGUGUCUUAGUAAAGAAGCAUGAAAUUAUUCUAUUGUCAUCAUGCUUGGCAUAAUCUAUGAUAGGACAUUUCUGAAAGACAGACUCUAUAUCCAUGCUCUAGAGACAAAUACAAAUACUUUCUUAUCCUCAUUGCAUAAGAUAGCUUUAUGAGCCUUUCAUAUUACUAUGGUCAUUUAAGUUGUUUUCUCAUUUGAUUCUUAGGUUUGAUAUAAGCACUAUUGUAGGGUUUUAAAACCAUCGCUCUCUAGACAUUCCAUUGACAAGUUUAAGCUCUCACUUUGUUGCUAUAUGUAUUAGAUUUCCAUAAUAGUUUAAAUAAUAUAGUAAUAAUCAAAUCAAAUGAUUUGAAUGAAUGCUUUAUUUCUUUGCUUGGUGCUCUGUCAGACUUCCUGUGCAAUUGGGUGCUCCCCUUCUUCUCAAUAUCUUUCUUUUAAUACAGUUAAUGAAAAGUGAUAAAUUGUUGGUAAAAUGUGAACAAAGACAAAAACACAAUGUUAUCAAUUUGUGCUUAAUGGAUGUUACAGUAAAGUGCAGGUAAAUUUAACAAACAAGGGUUUUAGUUGAGCAGCUGGCCAGGAAGUAUAUUCUUGUUUCUUAGUUUAAUCCACUAGGUUACCGCUUUCAAUCUAUUUACAGUUGUUCUUCUGCCAAAAUGCAAGUGCAAGGGUAUGCUACUCAGAUAGAAGGGGAAAAUGAUAUACAGCUGAUCAUGCACUUAAUGGAAUGUCCCGAAAUUAUCAUCUGAAUAAACAAUUGGGCUUAGAUCUUUCUUCCUUUGAUAAUUGUUUUUGUAUACAAUGCACUCCACAAUCCCCAAAAAAAAAAGAGUGAACAAAUAAUUUCCAUUUAAACUUCAACAGUUUUCUGAUUCAGAGCUGUAUAUCUCCACUUUGCCUUCUCCACAAAGUCUGCGUCCAGGAACUGAGCAAUGAAAGCCCAAAGCAUGUAAGCAUCCUCAAAGUUAGCCAGGAAUCCAAGUGCAACUGUGACUACUGUUAUUCCCACAUUGGCUCUUUCUUUACUCUUAUUUGUUAAUGUUCCUUUUACUCCACAUGUUCUUCUCUCGAGAACUUUUGCCUUUUCUUCUUCAUACUUACCUGAAAAUGAUAUUUGAUGUAAGAAUCCAUAGCUGAGAGAUAUGUUGCUUCGAUCAGCAAGUUUUUGUACCAGAGGAGCCUCAACCUUUUCUCCUUUCCAAUCAAACACAUUGAAUGCCAAUGCAGGUCCCCGAUCAAACUUUAUCUUUGGCCCGUAUAUUCUAAUGACAGGGAUUUCCUCUGUGUUCGGAUGCUUGAGCUUCAUCAAAGCGUUCACCAGCCAAUUGAUCAGGCACCUUGCCCUGUUACUGAUCUGUGUAAGUCCCAAUAAAUCAACCUGAUCCAAUCCCCUGCAUUCAACCUCCAUGGUCCCAUUUUUGCGGGGUUUUGCAGUUUCUUGUUGGAUUACUUUAGCAGGUUUUACUAAUUCAACAAUUUCUGAAGUUUCUGGUUCUUUUAGUCUUGCAGCUAUGGUUUGAGACUUGGAGGCUGGAGAUUCUGACACUUCAUGUUCUGCAGCUGUUCCUGCAGUUUCAUUCUCAGAGGUUUCUGAUGCUUUCUGCUUUCCAGUUUUUACUGCAGUUUGGGACUCGGAGGUUUCUCCUUGUUCCAAUUUUUCCGAGCACGUCUUUGGGCUGGACAUUGGACCUGAAAAAGAGUUUGAUGUAUCUAAUUCAUCUUCUUCUAACACACAUUUAGACGUCCAUUCAAGUUCUAUAUCAGUACCAGAAGAUUCAUCUAGGAACCAGAACAGCUUCUUUGCUGGGACGAGACUUAUCAUUCCAGUAGUAGUGGAAUCUUCCAAGAGUGGUACGGUAGAUUUUUUGACAAAGAGGCAUCCAAAUCCAGAUGGGUUUUCCCCAAAAAUCUUGUAGAAGGAACAAAUGAGGAAGUCUGGGCGAAUGAGGGAGAGGCCAAAGCUAUCCAUGUCCUUUGGUCCCAAUGCACAAGCAUCAAUCAAGAUAUGCCAGUCAUUCUCCUGAGCUAUGCUCAUCCACAGAUAAGGAUAUCUGGCUCCAGUCACUCUAGAAUGAAGUGGAAAGACAAAUAGUCCUCUCUUCUUCUUCUUUUUUCUUUUCCUCAUAAUCAUCUUCCUUAAUUUUGGUGAAUGAAUCCUCAGCCUAGGCCAUGAGAACUCCGCUGACAUGACUUUGGCUCCUUUCUUCUGAGAACAGUUAAUCAUGGUCUCUAUUGCUUCACUCUCGUAGUCAUAAACAGUCAGAAGCUUCUGACUAGAAUGGAAAGGGUAAGAUUCUGCUACAAGUUUGAAAGCUGAUGUUCUGUUUGCUGUGAAAACCAUACAAUAAUCAUUUUCAGAUAUAUUCAGAAAACUCAUGAUCCGUUUCUUUAUUGCAGAUUCUAUUUCUGAUUCUUGGCCUCCAUGAAGUAGCUGUGUCUUCAGAUUUCCAGUCUUGUAGGACACACUGAAGAAAGGAAAAUGUGAAUUUGGAGGAGGUGAAUGAUGGGAAGAAGAGACAAUUUGUUUUCUGGAGUCAUGUUUUUGUAGCUGGAAAUAGGAGAAGAGACCGAUGCCAAUAUAAUCAAGGCAGGUAUGGUGGGAAAGCGAGAGAUGAUAGUAUUCCUGUUCUCGAAUUUGGUCAACUUGAUGGGUUUCGAUAUAUUGUGGGUAAGCUUUGGAGAAUUCUGCAAAUGAUUCUUGCAAAGAUGGGAGAGACUCAGGAUUUGUGAAUUGGGUGUUUGGGAAGAUACAGGAAGUAGCUGUCGCAGCAAAGUUCCGGCGACAUGUUGCUGCUGUGCUUCUGGUCUUGCCCAUUUUUUUCUGUGGCUCAGGAAAGCCGAGUAGAGGGUUUGGGCAGCAGCCAUUAAGGCAUUCUUGAUAGGCUUCUUUUGGGCAAGUACGGUGGAGGUUUUACUUUGUUUUAAACGUGAUGGGGACAGUGGGACUCCCAGGCUUCACAAGGACACGUUGAACAGGUACACACAUAUUCUCAGUUUCCAAACAGUACCAGAAUAGUUGGAUGGCAUUUCUUGAACAUCUCACUGCUUUGAAUGGUUGAGGCGGGGUUAGAAAGCGACAAACGCAAGUGGACGACAAAACUACCUUUUACGUUGGCCAGCAUUGUCGAUAAUGUAACUGGCACUGCAAGCUUCUUUGGAAUGUUUCUAAUUUGCUUAUGGUUGAAGGCUUUGAUUUCAAAGGAAUGAAAUGAAUGCCCCACUCCAGCCCAGCGCAUGGUGAGCAAUGCCCAUUUAUUGGGUGCCAUGUGUGUCCCUUCAAUCAUUUGCUGCGGUGCUGGUUGGUUGCAUUGCUUGGUCCAAAGUCUUUUUUUUUUUUCCUAACGAUCCGAAGUCUCUUUGAGUGGUGUUAUGCUUAUUUAUACAAAACUUGAAAUGGACAGUCCAUAUUUUAUAAUAUUAAUCAGACAACCUAAC